CUCAACUUCAACUUCAAAGCCCACUGGACCAUCGACAGUGUGAAAAAACGCCAUACUGGCCAUGCCUCAAGCAAGAGGUUCCACCUGUACCGGUGAUGCUUUCGAAUAUGCUCGCCAAUAUAUGUUUGAACCCGACACAGGAAUCCGAUCGGCUACAGAGUCCGUGAAGGAAGUACUGGUUUUAACAGACGGACACUCUAACUGCGGAGCCGCCUUGCCAAAUGCCGUUAGACGACUUCAGGUGAAGGCUUUUGUCUUUGCCUUGGCUAUCGGCGACUACGGAACUUCUGGAAAAGCUGAGAUCGAGUCUAUGGUUUCCCGUCCUCUCAUCGACCAUAUUUUCUCUCUGGCCAACUUUAUCGAAUUUCGUAACAUGGUAAACGAAAUUUUACUGUACCCAGAUAAAUGUGCACCAUUUGAAUUGAAGUAAGACUUGAUAUUCAUAAAAAGUCAAUCGCCCAAAACCUGUAAAAAAAUGUAAUUGUGAAUGCUGAAUUUAUGUAUGUUUAAUACAAUUCGCUAUUGCUUGACAAAAAUUCACUUAUAAAAUGCACUUGUGAUGUUCUCAUCAUUUGCUAUGAUUAUCACGUCUAAAACUGUCUGAGCCAUGUGUAAAUAUUUGUUAUAUCGCGAAAAGUAUCGAGUUCAAAGUUAGGCCGUUUGUAAAUAUUUGUUAUGCCACGGUUACAUCCUGAGCAGUAAUACUCUAUGCUAAUUCUGAAAUUUAUAUCUCCAUUGUAUAAUAUACAGAACACACCAUCAGUGUCGUAUAGCCAAUCUCUUACAAUGUACGUAACUUCUAUUUUAAUGUUGUAAUAUUACUGUUCUCGAAGAGGUUAAAUUAUCUGAUUCCCUGAAAA